CCUGCUGCAGAACUACAAACAAAAACAAAGACAAAAGCAAAAGGAAAGAAAGUAAAAAAAACCCCAGCACUCCGGCAUUUGGCCAGAAGCAGAAAUGGUAAAAAUGCUCUUUUUUUACCAUUCCUUAUCAAUUUCAUACCUGUAUUAUUAUAAAAAUAUUUUGCUUGUUCUAUACGGUGUCAUUAAAAACGUAAAAUAUGAACAUUAUGUUCCAGGCAUGAAGUGCAUUCAGAGGAGUCUGGAAACCCUGAAGACUGUUCAGUGUAGUAAAAAGCUCUUCUUUAUCUCUUAUUUUAAAUACAGUUAAUCCUAUUUAUUCAGCAAACACAUUUAAGAGCAACUUUGAGGGGAAAAAAAACCAAAACAGAAGAAGCUGGAAAUUGCCUUUUUCUGUCUGUAGUGGUGAGAAACUGUGGUUCUGUUCCUUUGCUUUUAUUUAUAGUCAGUAACCACAAAAUGUAUCUCUAACAAUAACAGGGAUUUUAAUAGGCAAUAUUAACUGUUCUUCCCUUAACUUUUGAUCUGAAAUGUUUCAAACAAAAGCCUGUUGCCUGUUUAUAUGAUGAAUUUGUUCGAAGAGUAUCUUUCUGAAAUAAUGCAAAACAUGACACUUUGUCAUUUGGGCUGACAUGGGACAGAAAUGUCAUUUUAAUCCAUUGAGUAAUUUUUUUUGUAUUCUUUUUGGGGGGGGCAUUUUUUUCUCAACAUUGCUAUGCCUUUUUUAGAGCAGCAGUGAUCUGCGCAGUUUCUUUUGACACUGAUGGGUAUUUCAAACCCCUUACACUGAGGGGAGGGAGAAAAACGAAUUUACUUCCAGCCACAGCGGCGAUGCAGCUCCAUAAGCCAUCACUUAUUUGCUAAAAGUUUACAUUUUAAAUGAGCUUGAAAUGUAAAGGUGGGCUUUCUGGUGCUGGGACUGUAUUUAGGAAUGGUGAGAGAAAAUAGAGGGAAGAUGAUAUGCUUGUAUGUUAAAGACUAUCAGGAUAUUGGUAAUACAGCCAUUUAAAAUGUAUUUUGUUUUUUGACGCAGCUAGGAGCAGGAGAUUCACAACCAUAUCUGGGAUGCUUAAUUAAAGCUUUAUAGGAAAAAAACAUCAAACAGCAGCUUACAGUAACAAGCCGAAAUAUAGUACACAUUUUCAAUAUCUUCAGAUAGAAAUGUGUGUUAUAUUUUUUACCUUCCUCUUCUGGGAUCACUAACAUGCCUCUCCUCAGACAGAGCAAGGACAAGUUCCAUCUUUAAAAAUUAUCUGCCUUACAGAUCACAUUCUCAAGCAUGUUCCACGCUUUUUAUUACCAUGGAUAACCUCUUAAUGCGAUCACAAUUUUAUACUUGUUAAGUGGACAUCUUCCCUAUAUUUAACUGCAAAAAAAGCAACUUCCUUUUGGGGGCUGGGAGGAAGGAGAAAUGCUUUGGGAUGAUUAGAAACAUAAGUUUCUAUCUUCUGUCACACCAGCCUAUCAAUUAUUCAAAACCCUACCAAAUUUAGAUGUCUGUUCCUAAAAUGUUGUUUGCACUCGUUCCCUGGGAAGAUGGAGGCAGCUGAUAAUUUGGCUAAAUUAUGCGUUUGAGCCCUGUAGUUACAAAUGAAAGAGUUGAAUUUAGCAGAUUUAUUUGCCACUGGUGAAAAUCCUUGGUAGCAGGAAUUUAGACCUCUUCCUUCAGGGAGCAAAUCGAGGUGUGAGGUGGUGCCCACAGGUAUUUAUGCGGACCAAACCUCAUUGUUACAGCAAAUAACGUGAUGCAUCAGUGACUCGAUGGGAGGUCUUACUGAUCAAUUAGGGACUGGCUACUGGGGCCAAAGGGCCUAAAGCAGCCCCUGAGGUGCUUUGUGCCCCAGGUAGUCAUUACCUGAGUGUAGAGUCCAGUAAAGGGGAAAUUAUUGCUAUUUUAGGAUGAGAUGUGAAGGAUGCGGGGUGGACAACUCCAGAUCAUUCAGGGUGUAAUGCGCUCAUCCCAAACCUGCCCUUUGAGCACACCUGAUGCAGCCUGGCUGCUGUGGUGGUGUAAAAUAUCUCCCUUUUCCAGCAGUGUCAGGGUGUGAUUGGCAGCAAGUCUGCACCGAGCGUGGGCGUCCUCCCGUGCACACCAGUCACAGGACAUGAGGGGGGAGUUUUUGUAAUUGAUUUUAUUUUUUUUUUAUAAAUAGAUAGGUUCUGACAAAUAACACCGCCUCUUCACAAAGCUCAUUUGCAGCAGCUAACAGACCUGUGCUGGGUUUAUCAGUGACAGAACCUCCUUUCCUAAAGGAAAUAAUAUUUUUUGAGAAGAUAAUUUGGCUGAUAUUGCAAUGGCUCAGGGGGGCAAAAAGCUGCAGAGCAAAGCUGUUUCCAGCAGCCCUGGGCAUGGGGCAACACUGAUUGCUGCACUGGGCGUGUUUCACAGGGCCAGGCACGAGAGCAAGAGGAGAGCUGAAAGAAAUGCUGCUGACUGUGAAAAAUAACAGAAUAAAAAAUCAAAUAAAAUCAAAUCCAUGCAACAGAAACACCACCCUUUCUCUUGCAACGACAGUUGGUAAUUGCCAAAACACAGGCAGCCUUAGGCUAAAAAAAACCAAAUCAAACCCCUCAAAAAUCCAUAAAGAAUUUAAUUUAUAUUUAGAAACCAAAAUGUUUCAGGCAAACAGCACACAAAUUGCACAAGCCCUUGUGUCGUUCCCCACUACCCUGUGCUGACUCUUAAGUUACACUGCUAAGGAGCGUAUCCCCAUUUUUACAACUCUGGCAUAAAGGCAGGCAAGAGGCAACGGGGAGGAAAAAAAACCCAACCCCCCAAAAAACCCAAAACAAAGGAUGUGUGAGGGCUUUCAUUUAUUUUGAUAAUCCUCCUCCUGCUCCACAGCGUUUUGCUGUCUUUGUCAAAGUGAAUGACAACAAUUUGGCCAACUCUCUCUGAGCUGCACUCAACAGUGACAGGCAAAUUAUCAGAGGCCCUGCACUCCUUAUUAUCAGAGGAGAAGUCAUCAGGAGGACGUGCGGAGGAUCCCUCUCCCCUGUCACUAUUUGUCAGUGGGACAAGGGCCACUGCUAUGGGUAGCUGACAGGUAAUUUCAACAAUAACAAUUACUCCUAUUACUGGUGUCAUAAACAAUUCGCCCAAGGCAUGACAAUAGCAAAGCUUUAUAAUUCAAUGCCAUAUAAAUAAAUGCCAGCAGGUAACAAGUAAUUUAGCUCCAAUCAGGCCUUGGCCCUGGCAUUAAUAUUGUUAUUGCAAGAAAAUGGAAAAUUGAAAAAAAUUCAAUAUGUUAAUGAAUUAAGAGGGGUUCAAAGGCUAAGGGAGGGGAGGCAUGAUCCAGAAUGGAGGGAAGAAAACAAAACCAAAAGAUACAAAAUCAUGCUUUCAGAACUACCACCAAUAUGCAUUCAUACAACCAUAUAACUAGUUUUUGAUAUAGAACACGGUCUUGCUAUGCUGCUUUUCAGGUUAGGGCAAAAGGCAUGCAGGAACCUGAACCCCACCCCUUGCCUCCAUCUGCUACACUGCGAACAACGUGCAUCAAAAACUAAACUGAAUUUAACAGUUUUAUUCAAAACAGAAUCAUAUUUGAAAUCUCAUGCAAGACAUGGAUUUAACAAAGAUUAAAGGUUUAUUUACAACUCCAUUGCUUUAUUGUCCACUUCUGGCAUGCUUUAAUCUUUUUUAAACAAGCUCUGUUAAAUCAUUGAUUCUCUAUUUAUCAAGAAGAAGGAUUUUACUGCACUUUUUCUCUCCCCAAAUGCCCUUCAGAAGACACAACACCCUAAUUCUCUUAUGAGAAUGUUGAUCAACAGCAAACAAGCUAAAUACCAAUAUCUUCAAGUCCAAAUUCUUGAUCAACCAAAUUUGCAAUUUUACUAUUUGUCCAGCAAGACAAUGCGCCAUCAGGCUGACAGCAGUAAAAGAAUUUGAAAAUCUCUAAUUAGGAGAGCUGCAGAGCAAUUAACGCAUGUCAAAUUUCACUUCAUCAAGUGCCACUCUAAUUUUCCCACUAAAAAUUAAUGGACUUUUUUUUGGUGGGUGUGUGGGUGUGUGGGUGUGCCUGUGUCUCUCUCUCUCUCUCUCUGUGUGUGUAUAUGUGUGUGUGUGUGUGUGUGUGUGUGUGUGUGUGUGUGUCCCCUCAAGGCAAUGUUGAUUCAAAUCUGCUCAAGAUGCAGCGUUGCACAGCUAAGCAUCUUCUUGAUUACAACCCGACACACUUCUAACUGCUUUCAUUCUCACUGCCACGGAUACUUUGUCAACAGUCAAAUUACUCCAUGCUGAUAACAGUGCAUAAUGGUCUUCCUCAAAGGAGGCUCCUGUCAUGGAGCAGCCUUUCAUAAAAACCCACCAGUUUCUUCUCUGAGAGAUAGAGCUAGAUGAAAGGAGUUAGCUUUUGUGGUUCCAAACAUGGUUGCAAUGCAUUUUUUUUUCAUUUCUCAUUUUUUCUUCUUCUUCCUCUCAUGCUAUAGUUUAUUUAUUUUUGUACUCACCUGAAAUUAUGGUAGGGAGCUGUUUGAAGAGUCAUACAGAAUGGAAAAUAUUUAUAGUUACUGCUUAUACAGGCUUUGCUUUAACCACUUUGCUCCAAGAUGCUUUCAAGAGCAACAUCCUCCUUUCAGUACCACUCAUUUAUUUUUUUUUUUUCUUUUUUUCCUUUUCUUUCUAAAGGUGCAGGGCAGCAUCCUGCACUCUGCAUAACCACAAGCCCUGCUGACGUCAAUGGGAGUUUUUCCGGGGUGAGGGCUGAGCGCCUUGGCCCACUGCUAUAAACACAUUGGGACUUUCUUUUUUAACGGAUGGUAUUUAGAUUCUGUGAGGGGCUUGUUUAACAGGCACGUUUUCCAGAGUCCUCAAACAUCGUGGGGCACACAAGACAAAUUGUCUUUUUGUUAAAGCAGCAUAAGGGCAGGAGAGAAGCACUGAGCUAUCACAGGCAGUUUUUGCCUUCCACUCACUGCUCCCCGAUCCCCACCUCUCUUUUCCUGGGAGAUCAAUAACAGCAAAAGUCAGAGGGUGUCAUGGGGCAGGAUUUCAAACAAGUAGAAGUGGAAUUAAUAAGAAUAACAUUCUCCAGAGAUAUUAAAAUUUUUUGCCUGUAAGUUUCAGAGCUGAAGUACAGUUGUCUGCUCCCUUGGAGAGAAGAAGGGUUAGCACCCACAGCCCUUGCCUAUCACUGGGCUUAUAGCUGCCAACCACCCCAAUGACAUAGGUAGGGUAUUUAGUCCUUGGUGUGUGCAUGUCUGUUUACACUACAAACAAAGCCAAAACCACACAUUGCAUUUAAUCGGAGCCAUCUUUCCAUCAAUAUUCUUAUUUCUUGCCCCAGAUAAAUGACUGAUAUUGCAGUGCCUGGUAACAUGGGCUUCUCUCCUCCCAAUAAUUUUCUGCAUCCUCCCCAGCUAUAUUGACCCCCACCCUGGCAGGUAUUAACAUUUUGCAAUUAACUCUGUCUGAUAUAUUAAGAAAUGGGAAAUCCAGGAUAUUUGGUUCCUGAAUUUGGGAUGUUCCCCUCUUUGGGUCCUCCACCUAGGAUGGACAAAUGAGUCUUCCUCUAAUGACACAGCCCCAGUGCACACACAGUCCUCAAGCAUCCCCAGACCAAUGUCAUGGCAGCCACUGGACCUGCAGGUUAGUAUACGUGUAAGUGCAUUUCGUUUAUUUCCAUGUCCUUCUCUAAACUUAAAAAGCUCUAACGCUGCUUUUAAACAAAGCAGGGAUUAUAUACUUUGCCUUGACAGCCUCUCUUUUUUUAUUAGGGGACAUCCUCCCCCCCUCAGCAAAAAAUGCUCCCAUAAAAACAAUAGGCAAAGCCAUAAUUUAAAGAGAAAAAUGUGAUUAUAUAACACAUCCUGCAGUAAUCAAUUUUACCUCCAAUAUCUGCUUUUGUUUUCAAAAUGCUAAAUAAACAAUACAUAAUGCAUCCCUCAUCAACCAAAACCAUGAGGGCUCUGUGCUCAAAUAACAGGAAACAUAUUCAAUUUUCCUAACAGAAGACAGUUCAUUAAGCUGUGCCACAUCAAAUAAAACUUUAAUUUCUCCAGCAUCAGAGUCGCAAUGAAAGCAAUUGAGGAAGAUGAGCCAUAUGGUACUUCUAUCAGCAAACACAUAUUGCUCAUUCCCCCAAAGUUUUCUAAUUCUGCUCCCCAGACCUGUGUAAUAUAGAUAAUGUGCUCUGAGCGCAGCAACCAUGAGCUAUCUGGUGUACACUUCUAAUACUGUAUUUAAUGGGAAAUAAUGAAUCAUAAAAGCCUGCAGAAGACGGCUUUUGCUAACCUAAAUCUCAGCUGUAAUUUCAUUGUUCUGUGCCUAAGAUGUUGUUUGCCCUUUUCAAACAGCAGCAGUUGAACAUAAUUAUGCUGCUACAAACCUGGGCUGCAAAAAGAAAGCCUUCCUAAUAGAACCAAGUUUUUAUUAACUCUUGAAAUCCUGAGCUUGGGGCAACUGCAAGCAGACAGCUGCCUGUCAGGUUUUAGGGUGCAUUAAAGCACACGUACACGUAGAUCUUGAUUUCCAGUGUGCAGCCCCACAAAUUAAAUUGAUGAUUCCUACAUCAGGCCAAAAAUGCAACAAGAGAAGGCUAUGAAAAAUUAGGAAAUCUUCUUGACAUCGGGAAAUCCAACACUUGUCUGCUCUAACAUCUGUAAGUGCCAAAUACAGAAGGGGAUUUUUUCUUUAAAGGUAAGUCUAUUUUUCUUCUUUUUGCCAGAUAUAAAAAUUGUGGUUAGUGCCUGGAGUAAAGGGCCCUCUAAACUUUAUAGUGUUUACCCUCAGUUUAUAAAUCCAUAAUUAUCUAUUUAAUGAUAUCAUAAGGUUAAAAGUUAAACAGCACUGUAUUUUCUCUGCCUUUUUCUCCUCUGCCUUUUAGAAAGGCAGGCUUGCCUAUCUCCAAGGGACGAUUGGUCAGGGUUGUUUUCUGAAGAAGCCUAUAGGUAAAGAGACAUCCAUAUGUUCAUACAGGAGCAUUCAUAAAGGCAAGGACGAGAAGAUAAAGGUAUUUUUUUGACAUGAUGACCCCUGGAAAAUGUCUUUGACUCAUCCCAACCUAAAACCUACAAAACCUACAAUGAAUUUACAUCAACUAUAUGGAGCUUUGGACCAACAGAUUUAUUUUCCAGAUUGUUGCCACUUUUGCUGCCUUUGCCUCUGAGAAGUUGAGUAAAUCCUCUGGCCCCUUUCAAAUAUUUCCUCAUCUGCGCUGAAUGCCUACUGACAAAGCAACUGAUAGAUACGGACCUAAGAAAUAUUUAUUAUCAUUGACUCCUGCACACAGCUGCUCUGGUGUGGGUACCACAUCCCAGGUGCCACAAUGAGAGCCACCUUCUCUUCUCCAGCUUCCAGUGAUGUGAAAAGUGGACAGAAAUAGCCUGCAGAGGAGAAAAAAUUAUUUUUCAGGUUGCCCUGACUCUGCCCCCCAAAAUGUCUCCAGUGCCUGAAUGGGAACUGCAGUGGAUACCCGAAAUACCAGGGAUAGAGAUGCUCACUGGGAUGAAAACUGGAAAGACAUAUUUCCAAACACCACCUUCCCCAUUGCUCAUAAAAUUUCAUUAAUUCACAUGAAAUUUUCUGCAAACUUUCAUAACUAAAGCUGAAGUUAGGGAGGUGCUAAGUCAGGGAGCAGUCUCCUGGCCUCCCCAUCCCAAACCUGGUUGCUCACCAUGUAACUUCUGAGCUUAAAAAGAGAUGGCAAUUGGAAAAUUCACAUGGAAUAAUUAAAAAACAAUAACAUUUUGGAUUUCUUUUUUAAAGCAGCCAUUUAUACCUAGCUCUGAGACAUGAUUUGGGCUCCUUGAUUUUAUUAAAAAAAUCUCCAAAUCAAAUUCUUCCUGGGCUGCAAGUCAUGCUGAAAAAAGCUCCACUCUGAAUUUGCAGUAAUUAGAAACAAAGCAGCACAUUUUCCUUCAGACCCACAAAGAGUAAGUUUCUGACAUUUCUUAGACUGAGUCUGUUGCAUUUCCAUGCUGUGACUCUCAGGACAGGGGCUGGGAGAGUUUGGUUGGAUGACUUGAAUUCCUUGGUGUCAUCAACACCCUCACAUUAGGUUAUUCAGGCACCAAAGGUGAUGUAAAAGCUUGUUCUUCACAGGCAGAGCAAAAUUAAGCUGCUCCAGAAGCAUCAUCCCCAGUCCACUACUGCUGGUGUGGCAUUGCCUUAGUGGCUGGGGCGGCACCAGGAGAAGGGGUGAGAGCACCCUUCCUCAUGUGUCCUCCCUGCACAGCCCUUUCCCUUCUGGAGAGGUUGUCAGAAGCCUGAGGAGAUGCUCACCGGUGUGUGCAGAUCUCAUGUGGAGGUUAAACCCAGCAGUACCAGCAUCUACGUGUUACCAGCUUGAGGUGUGAGGAGAUGAAGACUUAGUGCAAAGGUUUCAUCAGCCUGGGGUGGAGGAGUUGGCAUGGUCUGGCAGUACUAGCAUGUGAAUACUGUGCCCACAGGGAUGGGGAAGGUGGGAGGUUGAAAGACUUGAGCUAUUUAUUAGGUUGCUUUUUCCUAAGGGAUACCAUGAUCCAUAAAAGAAAAAGCAGAAUUCAAGGAUUGCAGGCAGAAAAUUAUUCAGAAACUGUUAGCAGAGGUAUGAAAGGGUCAGUCAGAAAAGAGGACAAAAAUAUAUAUGACCUGUUUACUUCCUGACCAAGGUAAACACCAUCUCCUUUUUUUUUUUUUUUUUUUUUUUUGUAAGAUGAGAAAUAUUAAAAGGAAGGUCACAAGUUAGAGGAAAGACUAGAAAUUCCUUUGGGAUGGGCUCUCUUGCAAAAUAUAUACAGUUCACUAGUAACAAAAUCCAGAUAGUCUUUACUGUUUUUUUAAAAAAGAAUUAAUAGAAUCAUGGAAUUAAAGAAUCAUUAAGGUUGGAAAAGACCUCCAAGACCAUCCAGUCCAACUGUUACACAAAUCACCCAUAAUACUCUCUCAUAAACUUACAUGUGUCUAUGUUUAUGCAGCUGUAAAUAGGCAUGUGAUUGUGCACAUAUAUAUGGGCCUGCAUAUAUACCUAUAACAAAAACUUGGCGUGCAUCAAAUGAAAAAUAAAAUGAGCUGCAAAAUUAUUUAGGGGAAAAAGUGAUGAAAGUGGGUGAGAGCUGGGGCAGCAGUAUGGUGAGGAUCUAUCCCACUGCUUGGAAAUACCCAGAAAUCUUCUUAAACAUUUAUCAGCACCUUUCCUAACUUUAGGAGAAGGGCUGGGAGGGCCCCAAAAGCAUGAUUCUUCAGGAUAUUCCUAUCAGGCAGGAAACCUUGGGAGAGCAGCAUUGCUUGUUUUCUGUUCUGCUUCCAGCUCCAGAAAGCACACAGAUAAGAAGAAAACUCAAAAUAAUUGAAUAGAUACAAGACAUCCACAUUUGUAUAAACAACAAGCUUUGAAAAGGGAAAAAGGAAUCAGGUCUUAAUUUUUUAUGAUUUCUUUUUCUCAAACUAAAAAAAAAAGAAAAAGGAAAAGUCAGGCAGUUCUUAUUUUAUCCAGACCAGUUCAUAAAUCCCAAGUCAUAAAUCCACAUGAUAUCCCGGGCUGCUGGAUUUUGCAUUUGGAGCUCCGAAAGACUGAUAGCUGAAAGAUUUAUAAAAUCCCAGGUAGCCGGAGUACUCCCUAUUGGCUCCACAUCUGAGAGGUCCCUGCAUCCUGCUUAGCCCACAAAGCUGGAUGUAUGGGAUAUAUUGUGUUCAAGAAGCAGCACACCCCCACCCUGCUAUUUUCAGAUGUGACAAAGGCUAAAAAUUUGAUCAUAUGAGGUGGAUUGGCCCUGUAUAGGGACUUUUCUGCACAGACAUGGGGAUAGCCAUGAACUGGGGUUGCCCAAAAACUGCUGCCACCUUCGGCAAAAUUACACCAUGGUUUGCGUCAUAGAUGUAUGAUUAACUUGUGUGGUAGACCCAAACAUAAACAGCAGAAUUGUUUCAGCUGCUUUGAAUAUACGCUUGUUUUUGUUUCUUGUAAUACCCUUGAAUAGGAAUGACUGCUCAGUAAGAACAGGGGAUCAUCACUAGGCCAGAAAAUGAUGAUACUUAGAGGAGAACAUGACCAGCCCCUCAACAAAAAUUGGUACCUGAGACGCCUCAGAUAAAGUACAGAUUGUUGACAAUUCAGCUGUCAAAGCAGCCAGCUCACAUUUCUCAGAGUGCUGAAAGAUGACGAUGUGGAGCUUUUCUCAUCAGUUCAGUGGAUGUUACACAUGACCAUGUGUAUUGGGGUGAAGGUUCCCCAAAACAGACACUCUGAAGAUUGAUUUGUGCUAUUUGUCUGUAUACACAGGAUGCUGAAAAAGUGCUUAAGCCUUCCAUCCCUUACUUUCCUCUAUCCUUCCUCAAUGACCUUAUUUGAACCUAAUACUUUUCUCCAGACUUGCAAUGACAGACAUUUCUAAUAUGCUUCUGUUGAAUUAAUAAAACGAUUUA